CGGGAGAAGAGUAAAGGAAGAAUCUGGCCCAACAGAUUGGCUGCUGUGCUUGGAAUCAUUGUCCUGUUGCAUCACCUAAUUUGGGCCAAGCUUUACCUGGCAGACAGAGGGCUUCACAUUUGACUCUAGAAUAAUCUGGUAUAAAGAGGACUUCACGGUCGACUCAGCAACUCCGAGGUGCCCAGGUCCUGUGGCUGUAAAACAAACCCAAAUCAGCCCUCCACCACUCUCCUUGAAGGUAUCUCUCCUGAUCUGAAGGCACCAUGAACCACACAGUGGAUAUUCUGUCUGAUCCAGAUUUGUGGCACAACAUAACUGCAAACACCACCUCCAGUUAUACACCUAUUAUGCCAUCAGUAAUGGAAAAAA